rnacentral:rRNA from 1 species
AACGCGAAGAACCUUACCCAGGCUUGACAUGUAUGAGAAAGCCUUUGGAAACAGGGGCCCCUCUUCGGAGUUCAUACACAGGUGCUGCAUGGCUGUCGUCAGCUCGUGUCGUGAGAUGUUGGGUUAAGUCCCGCAACGAGCGCAACCCUUGUCUAUAGUUACCAGCGCGUCAUGGCGGGGACUCUAGAGAGACUGCCGGUGCUAAACUGGAGGAAGGUGGGGACGACGUCAAGUCAUCAUGGUCCUUACGUCUGGGGCUACACACGUGCUACAAUGGCCGGCACAGAGGGAUGCGAAGCGGCAACGCGGAGCCAAUCCCCAAAGCCGGCCUCAGUUCGGAUUGUCGUCUGCAACUNGACGGGAUGAAGCUGGAAUCGCUAGUAAUCGCCCNNUUNNNNNANNGGCCACGCUGAAUACGUUCCCGGGCCUCGACCCACCG